UCUUGGUUCCACUAGAGGAAGUAAAAGUCGUAACAAGGUCUCCGUUGGUGAACCAGCGGAGGGAUCAUUACAGAGUUGCAAAACUCCCUAAACCAUUGUGAACGUUACCUAUACCGUUGCUUCGGCGGGCGGCCCCGGGGUUUACCCCCCGGGCGCCCCUGGGCCCCACCGCGGGCGCCCGCCGGAGGUCACCAAACUCUUGAUAAUUUAUGGCCUCUCUGAGUCUUCUGUACUGAAUAAGUCAAAACUUUCAACAACGGAUCUCUUGGUUCUGGCAUCGAUGAAGAACGCAGCGAAAUGCGAUAAGUAAUGUGAAUUGCAGAAUUCAGUGAAUCAUCGAAUCUUUGAACGCACAUUGCGCCCGCCAGCAUUCUGGCGGGCAUGCCUGUUCGAGCGUCAUUUCAACCAUCAAGCCCCCGGGCUUGUGUUGGGGACCUGCGGCUGCCGCAGGCCCUGAAAAGCAGUGGCGGGCUCGCUGUCGCACCGAGCGUAGUAGCAUACAUCUCGCUCUGGUCGCGCCGCGGGUUCCGGCCGUUAAACCACCUUUUAACCCAAGGUUGACCUCGGAU
rnacentral:rRNA from 1 species